rfam:Caminicella sporogenes DSM 14501 genome assembly, contig: EJ28DRAFT_scaffold00019.19
GAAGGUAGGCCUUUCGGAGUCGCUAUUCAGGUAGCUAUUCAGGUAGAGGCUUCAAACCACCUUAAGCUGCUGUGGUCAAAAGCUAUGGUGGUGAGCGUUAAGGAAGUGGAAUGAUGU